CAUUUUAAUUAGAAAAUCCAUAAAUUCUAUUUCGUGAACAACAAUAUACGACGGACGGACUUUGGAUACUAGAAACCUUAAUUAUAACCGGAUUAUCAACAUAAAAUCACCGACUUUAUGCUAGAACCAAUUGACAGAGCUUCAAUGCACGAGAUGAGCCAAUUUUUAGAAAUUAAUCAUUUGUGUGGCCCACCUGCUCGAUUUGUGUAUGCAAACCAAACCCA